rnacentral:rRNA from 1 species
CAGCAGCCACGGUAAUACGGAGGGGGCUAGCGUUGUUCGGAAUUACUGGGCGUAAAGCGCACGUAGGCGGCUUGGUAAGUUAGAGGUGAAAGCCCGGAGCUCAACUCCGGAAUUGCCUUUAAGACUGCCGAGCUAGUAGGUGAGAGAGGUAAGUGGAAUUCCGAGUGUAGAGGUGAAAUUCGUAGAUAUUCGGAAGAACACCAGUGGCGAAGGCGGCUUACUGGCUCAUUCUAGACGCUGAGGUGCGAAAGCGUGGGGAGCAAACAGGAUUAGAUACCCCUGUAGUCCCUGUCUCUUAUAC